UACAGAGGUCUCAAGCGUUGUUCGGAUUCAUUGGGCGUAAAGGGUGCGUAGGUGGCAUGGUAAGUCGGAUGUGAAAUCCCGGGGCUCAACCCCGGAACUGCAUUCGAUACUGCUGCGCUAGAGUACUGGAGAGGAGAUUGGAAUUUACGGUGUAGCAGUGAAAUGCGUAGAUAUCGUAAGGAAGACCAGUGGCGAAGGCGGGUCUCUGGACAGUUCCUGACGCUGAGGCACGAAGGUCAGGGGGAGCAAACGGG
rnacentral:rRNA from 1 species